rnacentral:rRNA from 1 species
CCCUUAGAUGUUCUGGGCCGCACGCGCGCUACACUGAUGCAUUCAACGAGUCUAAAACCUGGUCUGAUAGGGCUGGGUAAUCUUUUGGAUGUGCAUCGUGAUUGGGAUAGAUGAUUGCAAUUCUUCAUCUUCAACGAGGAAUGCCUAGUAAACGCAAGUCAUCAGCUUGCAUUGAUUACGUCCCUGCCCUUUGUACACACCGCCCGUCGCUCCUACCGAUUGAAUGUUCCGAUGAAUACCAUGGACUGAGAGUAUGAAUGGGUUCGCCUAUUUCUGCUUCUCGGGAAGUGGAGUAAAUCUUAACAUUUAGAGGAAGGAGAAGUCGUAACA